rnacentral:lncRNA from 1 species
GAGGCAGUAACAGCUGGAGCCCAAUACACUCUCACACUCCUACAUUCUCCCUGUCCUACUCUUCCCCACACACAAUAUUUACAGGCUAAAAAGCUGCCCACUCUCCUGGCCACCCUUCCUCUCCAUCUGCCAGCAGUCAGUCCAGUGUUGUCCCAGUUUUGGGAUGUGCCCCAGUGCACUGUUGGGUGAGGAACGAGGGCGGUUCACAGCCCCAGAGGAGUCAGCUGGCCACAGGGCUCACGGGCAGCUUGGUCCCAGCCAGAGUCUGUAGGCAGGGGGGCAGCCUGCUGCUGUCCCCGGAGCUCCCGAAGGGCUGUGCCAGGCCAGUCCAUUGCCCAGGUGUGGCGGGUCACCUAUGUGGGGACAGCGGUCUCCAGGCUGCGCCGGCUGUGCCGGAGCUUCCGCUUGCUGCUGUACAGGGCCAUGUCCUCCAGGGCUGAGGGAGCUGCUGCUGAUGGAUCCCCUGUUCCCAGUGUGUCCUCCUCUGGCUGCCCAUCCUGCUCCUGGUGAACUGCAACGACAAGAGGUGCUGGAUCUGAAGACAAAGCCCUGGGUUAACUCAGGGAAGACCCUGAGAAGAAAUACUUCCCUGUGAAGGAUGAGGCACAGGCUGCCCAGAGGAGCUGUGGCUCGCAGCAACCCGGCCUGAUGGAAGGUGUUCCUGCUCAGGGCAUGGGUGGGACUGGGUGGUCUGAAAAGACCCCUCCCAUCCAAACCAUGCCGUGAUUCUGGCAGCAUGCAGCUGGCACAGUUAAUGCAGAUGUCAAGGCUAUCAUAGGAUGACAGAAUGGUUUGUGUAGGAAAGAACCUUAAAGGUCAUCCCAUCCCACACCCUGCCACAGGCAGGGACAACUUCCACUAUCCCAGGUUGCUCCAAGCCCUGUCCAACCUGGCCUGGAACACUUUCAAGGAGUGUUCCAGGGUAUUCCCAGGUGCUGGAUUUGGGACAGCAUUGGCCUCAAUUACUCACAGUAACCUCCUGCACAGAACCUCCUGGUGGCCUGCAGCUCAUGUAGGGACCAGUGGGUGCUGAGAAGGAAGAGCCACGUGUGAGAAGACUCCUGCCUGUAACAGCCAUCGUACACUGAAUGGGACUGAAGAGCCAAGCUGUAUGGAACACCAAGUGUCCUGAAAUGCUUCUGCUCUCCAGAGCAGGGAUCCACCCUGACCCGGGUCUGCAGGGGUCCUUUGGUCACAGAGGGGAAGGAGAGUCUUUGCUCACUGGCCCAGCUGGCCAGGAGGCCUUUGAACUUAGGGGCACCACAGAGACAUGGUGGGACAGCUGCUGUGCCUCAGGUGUUGGAAUGGGAGGAUCCAGACCCUUAAUGAAGGACGGGGCAAGGAGGUGAGGGUCACCCCUGUGUCAGGCCCAGCUGGAUGCAGGGAGCUGCACCCAAGAGCUCUGAGGAGCUGACCAGAGCUCACAGGACUGCAGAGACAGGUGACAUUCCUGACCAGGGACAGGUGACAUCCUGAGGGGAUGAGGUCUCCACAGACAGAUGGGAGCAGCCUCACAUUCACAAGCCUUGGUCCUUGGGGCUGGUGGGGGGGAAAUUCAACCACCCCAGUAUCUGUAGGAAGGCAGUCCACGAGCUUCAAGUGCAAAUGGGUUCCUGGGAAGUCCCUCUGAAGCCUCUGGAUGCAGAAGAGACCCUCAAGCAGAGAAAUCCAUGAAGGUCUGUCAGCCGAAAGGCUCAGUCUGCUGAGCUGUGCCAGUGUCCCACCCUCUCCUCCACCGCGGCCUCUGGCAAGGAGAAGCCAUUCCCCCUUGUCCUGUCACUCCAGGCCCAGGUGAAAAGUUCCUCCCAGCUCUCUUAGAGCCCCUUUAGGCUCCCCAGAGCUUCUCUUCUGUAGGCUGAACACUCCCAGCCUGGGCAGCCCCUUCAGAGAAGGCUGGGGCUUGGCAGCAGGUGACUGAUCCUCAGACAAGGCACCCAGGUAAAAAAGCAACACAAGGGCACAUGAAGAUAAAAACCCAGCCUGGGUGGGUGGGGGAGAUCCCCUGGCUCAGAGAGAAGCCAGUCCUUUUAGACCCUCUAGGCCAAAGGACCCCCAAACAUGCAGGUUUAGUGAUCCCCAUGCAGCACACUAGGCUUUAAAAACUUGGGCUUUAAAAACAUUUCGGUUGUGCCCUGGGAAAAGCUCUGCUGAAAACAGGAGGGGCAGGAAGGGGCUGUGUUACCCCAUAGGAAAAGGGCAGGAAGGAGCUGUGUUACCCCACGAGAAAAGGGCAGGAAGGAGCUGUGUUACCCCAUAGGAAAAGGGCAGGAAGGAGCUGUGUUACCCAGAAAGAGCUGUGUUACCCUGCAAGACAAGGGCAGGAAGGAGCUGUUACCCAGUAGGAAAAGGGCAGGAAAGAGCUGUGUUACCCCACAGGAAAGGACAGGAGGUGCUGCCACAGGACCCAGCAGCCAGGACUUGUACCUGGGUCAGUAUCUUGCAAAUGAGGAAGAGUGAGGAACUGUAUCAGAAGAGACUUCUGAUGCCACCAAGCUGUAGCAGGGAGUCAAAUGAAGCUCAGUUAUAACAAAGUGGCUCAUGAUCCAUACAGCUGAGGGGUAAAAUGACACGGAAGGGGCAAUUUACUGCAGAUAGGAAUAGAUUCAAGAAAGAAAGAAGUCAAAGCCUCGGUCUCAGAAAGUGCAAACCCACUGAUUGCUGCAGCCUGGAGUAAUUCUGGAAGGAACUACUUUGUGCAUUUCUUCUUUUGUGUCCUUUUCUGGCACUCCCAGUGGCUCCCAUCACACCCCAGCUCAGCCAGAACCUUGUGCUGAUUCACUAAGUUCAUUUUUACACUACUGGAUGACAUUUAAGCUCAAUAAA